rnacentral:rRNA from 1 species
UACGUAGGGUGCGAGCGUUGUCCGGAAUUAUUGGGCGUAAAGAGCUCGUAGGCGGUGUGUCACGUCGGCCGUGAAAACCUGCAGCUUAACUGUGGGCGUGCGGUCGAUACGGGCAUCACUGGAGUUCGGCAGGGGAGACUGGAAUUCCUGGUGUAGCGGUGAAAUGCGCAGAUAUCAGGAGGAACACCGGUGGCGAAGGCGGGCCUCUGGGCCGAUACUGACGCUGAGGAGCGAAAGCGUGGGGAGCAAACAGG